GACGAACGCUGGCGGCGUGCUUAACACAUGCAAGUCGAACGGAAAGGCCCUGCUUUUGUGGGGUGCUCGAGUGGCGAACGGGUGAGUAACACGUGAGUAACCUGCCCUUGACUUUGGGAUAACUUCAGGAAACUGGGGCUAAUACCGGAUAGGAGCUCCUGCUGCACGGUGGGGGUUGGAAAGUUUCGGCGGUUGGGGAUGGACUCGCGGCUUAUCAGCUUGUUGGUGGGGUAGUGGCUUACCAAGGCUUUGACGGGUAGCCGGCCUGAGAGGGUGACCGGCCACAUUGGGUCUGAGAUACGGCCAAGACUCCUACGGGAGGCAGCAGUGGGGAAUAUUGCACAAUGGGCGGAAGCCUGAUGCAGCAACGCCGCGUGCGGGAUGACGGCCUUCGGGUUGUAAACCGCUUUCGCCUGUGACGAAGCGUGAGUGACGGUAAUGGGUAAAGAAGCACCGGCUAACUACGUG
rnacentral:rRNA from 1 species